rnacentral:rRNA from 1 species
GACAGAGGGUGCAAACGUUGCUCGGAAUCACUGGGCGUAAAGGGCUCGUAGGCGGCCAACUAAGUCAGACGUGAAAUCCCUCAGCUUAACUGGGGAACUGCGUCUGAUACUGGAUGGCUUGGAUUCGGGAGAGGAAUGCGGAAUUCCAGGUGUAGCGGUGAAAUGCGUAGAUAUCUGGAGGAACACCGGUGGCGAAGGCGGCAUUCUGGACCGAUAUUGACGCUGAGGAGCGAAAGCCAGGGGAGCAAACGGG